AAGUUUAGGUUUUUACCACCUUCUAUAUGGUUGAUCUAUGUAUUUCAAUACUUACUCUUUAAACAGGAUCAACUCCAAUUUGUGAAGAUAUUGGCAGGCAGAUGUUAUGCUAUAAUAGAAGAAUUCCCAUCCCUGAGCUUGAAGCAAGAAUUGAUGCUGUGAAUGCUGACACAAUUCGAGAAGUGUGUACCAAAUACAUUUAUGGUAAAAGUCCAGCUGUUGCUGCUGUUGGUCCCAUUGAGCAGCUACCAGAUUUUCACCAGAUUUGCAGCAAUAUGUGCUGGCAUCAUGAUUAAAAUACUUUUAAUCAAAUACAUUUGUAAAACUAAGAGACCAGCAGGUUUUAAGCUAUCGAAGGAAAAAAUAAAAAUGUACUUGAAAAUUUGAAUUAAAUAUUGUCAUACUUUCAGACUACCACCAUGAUUGUAUAAUGGUCAGCCUUUAUGCUGAGAAACUGGGUUGGAAACACACUUUGAAAUUAUUAAUGUAUUUUGAAAAUGAAACCUUGUAUAGUAUUUUCAGUUUUAUUAUAAAAAAUGCACACAUAACGAAGAUUGUCAUUUUUUGGCUCUACUUGCAUUUAGCACUUGCUCUUGAGCAGCUUUCUUUGCUUUGACCAUCUCAACAAGUUCCUAGAAGGGAGAAAGGUUUAAAUUAAGAAGCUGCCACUUUAAAAACAGACAUCCAGUGUUUGAUAUGAAACAUAAAUAAUUCGCAAGUGGUAGAAGCCAUGAGUUCGAACCCUAGUGGGGUUUGAACAGUGGGGGUGGGGUGG
ensembl:lncRNA